rnacentral:rRNA from 1 species
UACGGAGGAUGCGAGCGUUAUCCGGAUUUAUUGGGUUUAAAGGGUGCGUAGGUUGUUUUUUAAGUCAGCGGUGAAAGUUUGUGGCUCAACCAUAAAAUUGCCGUUGAAACUGGAAGACUUGAGUGUGUUUGAGGUAGGCGGAAUGCGUGGUGUAGCGGUGAAAUCCGUAGAUAUCUGGAGGAACAUCAGUGGCGAAGGCGGCCACCUGGACCGGUAUUGACGCUGAGGCGCGAAAGCGUGGGGAGCAAACAGG